rnacentral:antisense_RNA from 1 species
UCCUAUGGCCUACCUACGCUGGGAGGCUGUAAAGUCUGCUGGUUUCCUAUGUAGCCGGUCUGUCAGCCCAACGUGGGAAGCCAUUCCU